GUGGGAAUAUGUCAAUUCCAAGUUCUUAAUUCCAGCUGAAGGAGAGAAGUGGGUAAUGACUGGUCUUCGUGAUGCUUGGAAGCGACACAAGAGGAAUAUUAAGAAGAAAUAUUUUGAUAAAAAUGCUACUAUUGAACAAAUGCUACAAAAUCGUCCCAAUGAGAUACCUGAAGUUCAGUUCCGUCAAUUGAUUGAGUAUUGGGAUAACGAAGAUGUCCAAGCUAUGAGCCAAUUGAAUUCUGAAAACAGGAAAAAACAAAAGUGGAGGCAUCGAAUGGGACCUAUUAAUUUUGCAAGAGUGCGUGUG